CAAAACGACUCUCGGCAACGGAUAUCUCGGCUCUUGCAUCGAUGAAGAACGUAGCGAAAUGCGAUACGUGGUGUGAAUUGCAGAAUCCCGUGAACCAUCGAGUUUUUGAACGCAAGUUGCGCCCGAAGCCUUUUGGCUGAGGGCACGUCUGCCUGGG
rnacentral:rRNA from 1 species